GAAGGGUGGCAAGCGUUGUUCGGAGUUACUGGGCUUAAAGGGUGUGUAGGGCGGAAAAGUAAGCGUUUUGUGAAAUCCCCCGGGCUAACCGGGGGAAUUGCAGGGCGAACUACUUUUCUUGAGGCAAGUAGGGGUGCAUGGAACUCUUGGUGGAGCGGUGGAAUGCGUAGAUAUCAAGAGGAACGCCAAAGGAGAAGUCAGUGCACUGGGCUUGAUCUGACGCUGAGACACGAAAGCGUGGGGAGCAAACAGGAUUAGAUACCCUGGUAGUCCACGCUGUAAACGAUGCCUACUAGACUGCGGAAGUUCUGAUGCUUUCGCGGUCGAAGCAAAAGUGUUAAGUAGGCCGCCUGGGGAGUACGGUCGCAAGGCUA
rnacentral:rRNA from 1 species